CUCGAGGCGGCGGUUGGUAAGGCUUCGUGCCUGGCCUCCGCAAAGAGUUCGGCUCUGUCAGCC
ensembl:misc_RNA Telomerase-vert Vertebrate telomerase RNA